UCGCGGCUUAUCACCGGCAGUCUCCUUAGAGUGCUCAACUAAAUGGUAGCAACUAAGGACGGGGGUUGCGCUCGUUGCGGGACUUAACCCAACAUCUCACGACACGAGCUGACGACAACCAUGCAGCACCUGUGUGGACGCCAGCCGAACUGAAGGACCCGAUCUCUCGAGCCCAUACGUCCCAUGUCAAGGGUUGGUAAGGUUCUGCGCGUUGCUUCGAAUUAAACCACAUGCUCCACCGCUUGUGCGGGUCCCCGUCAAUUCCUUUGAGUUUUAGCCUUGCGGCCGUACUCCCCAGGCGGGGCGCUUAAUGCGUUAGCUGCGGCACGGAGGACGUGGAAAGUCCCCCACACCUAGUGCCCAACGUUUACAGCGUGGACUAC
rnacentral:misc_RNA from 1 species